rnacentral:rRNA from 1 species
GAUGAACGCUGGCGGCGUGCCUAAUACAUGCAAGUCGAGCGAACAGACGAGGAGCUUGCUCCUCUGACGUUAGCGGCGGACGGGUGAGUAACACGUGGAUAACCUACCUAUAAGACUGGGAUAACUUCGGGAAAACGGAGCUAAUACCGGAUAAUAUAUUGAACCGCAUGGUUCAAUAGUGAAAGACGGUUUUGCUGUCACUUAUAGAUGGAUCCGCGUCGCAUUAGCUAGUUGGUAAGGUAACGGCUUACCAAGGCGACGAUGCGUAGCCGACCUGAGAGGAUGAUCGGCCACACUGGAACUGAGACACGGUCCAGACUCCUACGGGAGGCAGCAGUAGGGAAUCUUCCGCAAUGGGCGAAAGCCUGACGGAGCAACGCCGCGUGAGUGAUGAAGGUCUUCGGAUCGUAAAACUCUGUUAUUAGGGAAGAACAAAUGUGUAAGUAACUAUGCACGUCUUGACGGUACCUAAUCAGAAAGCCACGGCUAACUACGUG